rnacentral:piRNA from 1 species
UGACUAAUUAGACUGGGAAACAAGGGC